rnacentral:rRNA from 1 species
GUCUUUUUGAAUUAAAUUUAAAGUCUAACCUGCCCACUGAAAUUUUUAAAUGGCCGCAGUAUUCUAACUGUGCAAAGGUAGCAUAAUCAUUAGUCUUUUAAUUGAAGGCUGGAAUGAAUGGUUGGACGAAAUAUUAACUGUUUCAUUUAAAUUUUUUAUAGAAUUUUAUUUUUUAGUCAAAAAGCUAAAAUUUAUUUAAAAGACGAGAAGACCCUAUAAAUCUUUAUAUUUUGUUUAUUUUAAUUAUAAAGAUUAUUUUUAUUAUAAUAAAUUAAAAUAUUUUAUUGGGGUGAUAUUAAAAUUUAAAAAACUUUUAAUUUUUAAAACCAUUAAUAUAUGAGUAAUUGAUCCAUUAGUAAUGAUUAAAAAUUUAAGUUACUUUAGGGAUAACAGCGUAAUUUUUUUGGAGAGUUCAUAUCGAUAAAAAAGAUUGCGA